GGCUUACACUUGAUCUCUAAACUUCAGGUAAGUUAUGUUGAAAAGUCUACACACGACUGAUGUC